GAAAGAAUGUUCUUAUUGCACUACAAUAUACAGAGAAACCCCGUAUUUACGUUAACGGUAUUUACGUUUUCCCGUUAUUUACCUCCUUUGUUUUUGGCCCAAUUUAUUUUCCAUAAGGCGGUAUAUGUCGUUUUCACGCUUGUUACGUCGGAAAAGUUUCUUCAUUCCCGUUAUUAACGUCUCUUUCAGUGUUUACAAACAUCGAAACAUGGCCGCCAUAAAAGAAAGAUACAGCAAAAGCUGCGUAUGUGAAUGCGUUCGCGUCGUGAAUAGUGCAAGUAACCUUGCACUAUUCACAAUACGUACUUCUAUUUCCACAGCUUUCCGCUACGAGCGCUGAUAGUAUCAUUGGCUUUAGCGGUAAAUGUAUUUGACACAUCUUUAACUCUUUGUCGUUAUUAAUAUCUGUGAGAAAAUGGAGAAAGUGAAGCAACGAAAAACUAUAACCGUUGCCGAUAAAAUUAAAAUAAUUGCCAAAUUCGAUGAAUAUGUUGGAUCACGUGUGGACCUUGCGAAAGAACUUUCAAUCCCUGUCGCGCAGCCCGCCCGCCCCCGCCGCCAUGGGGUCGAUGGCGUCCACCACGAUGUCCUCCUCCCCCGGGGGCCCGCCCCCGUCCAGCUCCGCCCCGCCGGGCAGCGGCUCCAGGGACUCCUUGGCCGCCCGCCGCUGCAACACCGCGCGCAGGGAGAUUGGACGGUCUCCGGGUGAAAGGUAACAAGCCACAUUUUGAUGAUUUUUAGAGAACAAGUCACUUAAACUCUUAAGUAUACUUAGAAUAUGUAAUGCAUUUUUAAUCAUUGGCAACUAUGUUGGCAAAUAAAAGAAUAAUGCAAGAAAAAUUUAAGUAUUUAAAUUAAAUUUUUAUUUAAGAGUUUUUUGUUUCUCCUGCAAAAAGUGAAUUCUUGACUUGUUACCUUUUACCCGGAGACGGUCCAAUUAAUCUAUGCUCUGCCUACGAAACAAUUAAAGGAAAAAUGGUUAAAAUUACAAAUACAAAAAUUAAAUCAAAAAAAGGCAAAGAAUCAACAUCUGUUAUUUUUGGUACAAAAAAUUAAUAAAUAUUUAUAAAUAAAAAAAAAUAGUGACUACAACUAUCAUGUAUGGAUUUAGCUAUUAUUUUAGCGGAUUAGUCUCUUCAAGAUGAUGAAACCCUUGAAACAACCCAGAUUCUUGAUCGUUCUUUUCAGUCGCGUCAAUAAAUACUGUAGUACUUCCAUAAGUUAACUGCAUACUUAUCAACAUUAGCAGCACAAACAGGAAGGACCCUUCAACCUGCAGUGCAGAAUUUUUUUUUUGUUUUUCUUGGAAAAUGUCCCACAUACACUUUUCACGUACAUUACAAUUUACAUUAUACGGUACUUAAAAGUAGUUUCCUUAACAAAGGAACAAUUCACGAAAUUUCUAAAGAUUCAGAAAUUCCUAUUAACGAAAUUAUACUAAUGUUGAGGGUGUACAUUUCGCAGUGUCAACAAAUUUCAGUUUUAUGGAAUUCACCAGUCAGAAUCUGGGAAGGCUUCUCUGGCCAUCCACCAUGCGUGGCAGCUUGCGCGGUGCACGCUUGAUGUGCGGAUUCGUCACAUUCUUCAGUCAAAUUUCCUUCAUCGGAAGUUUCACCGGCGAGAGGAUAUAAAUCAACAUUUCAAUCAGAGAUUAGCAUUAAGGGAUCUGUAAGUUUCUGUUCUCCACAGGACGCUUUUGGUGGGAGAAUAAUUAACCUAGGGUUUUAAUUAAUCAAAUAAAAAAUUACUUCAGAUCAAUCACAAAAAUAAACUUUAAAGCAAAAUACUACAAUCAGUCUUUAUAAUUUAAAAUAUAGGUUCUGAGUAAGAUUUUACGGUAAACUUUACUUAAGGUGAUUUUCAGAGUACUCAAAAUAAUUUAAGUAGGAACAUGAUCAAACUAGAUCAUAGUUUUUAAAUAAGUGAGUAAAGAAUUAAAGAUUUUGAAAGAUAUGAGAUACAUUGCAAGUACUAUCCUUUAAUACAUUAUUUCCCCAUAACAGUUCAUUUAUUUAUUAUUUUUAUAUGAACUUCUCUACUAACAAUGAUAACAAUAAUAAUCAAAACAUUUAGUAUUCCAAGUAUCAUACCAUAAAAAUCUUGUUUCACAAGUAACAAACCAACAAAAUGUUCAGUGAUGCUAUCUUGUACAUUUAAAAUUUAAAGGCAAUUUUUUUUUUAAUUUUAUUAUUUUGGUUUCAAGUUUCAUCGACAACAGGAACACCAGCCAUCUCAUAAUUUCCUGGAAAUAUUUUGUAAAACCAUUGCAGACCAAAUCCUGGACGCAAGUACGGGACUCGUCUCGGUUCACAGACUUGUGGAGACGGCAACUCACGCUAGUCUCGCGCAGGUAGUUGUCGUCGUGAGGAUCCUCGGGGUCACCGAGGGAGCGCUUCUGCACGAGGACAGCCUUGGGGCCCGUCACCCCGAACAACUCCGGCUGGAAGAGGCUCAGCGGCGCCACUAUACACUCGUCCCCCACCUGCCGAACACACACCUGCCUCAUCGCUUGGCCCACAGAAGAAAUAAUGUGUGCGCUGAUUCCACGUGUAACACAAGCGAAACCUCACUUCUUAAUUUAUUCUAUUAUAAGGUAUAGGAAACAUACUAAUUAUUUUUGUCUGAGGUUGAAGAUUAAAAAAUAUGUAAUUAUA